CUAGAUAAUGUGUGCAUGAUGAAGUAUUCACUGCCCACUUGAGCUGCUAACCUUCAUGCACUCACUCACUAACUCCCUCACUCACUCACCCACAACUCCUAUUAUUUUUGCAGAAUGUGUUUUUUGUAGUGUGUAAGUCCACUAUAAGUUUAAGUUCAGACCCGUGGAUUCACCUCUCUCUCUGGUGCUCUGUUCUUCCUUUCCUGCUGGCUAUAGAAUGAUUACUCUACCCCCUUCCAAUAACCCCUCACUCCUACACACACACACACACACACACACCCCUGGUUCAGCCUCAUCUAUUUACUGCUCUCUUGGAAGCAGAUUAGACUGACAGACUGGCUGUGGGCACCGUUGCCAGUCCAGUCUCAUGGAAGAAGGGUUACUUAUUUCAUUUGCCUCUGUCACUAGAUGAUGCUGUCUCAUUCAUUCCUAAAAUGAUUCUGAGUGAUCAAUGGGCCAGAGAUUCCAAUCCUCAUUUUGCAGUUAUGGGACCAAGCAACAAAGAAAUUGAUUGAGCAUCACCUGGACAUCAGCUGACAUCUAGCCAGUCACUCAUUCCUUUAGUCUGUAGUCAUUGCAGAUCACACAGU